GAGAGGAUGACGGAGCGGUCUAAUGCGCUGCGUGCAGGUCACAGUCCACUCUUGCGGGCGUGGGUUCGAAUCCCAAUUCUGACA